rnacentral:rRNA from 1 species
UGGGUAAUCUGCCCUCGGCACUGGGAUAGCCCGGGGAAACCCGGAUUAAUACCGGAUAGCCUCUCGAGCCUUCGGGCUCGUCAGAAAAGGUGGCUUCGGCUUCCGGCUGAGGAUGAGCCCGCGGCGGAUUAGCUUGUUGGUGGGGUAAUGGCCCACCAAGGCGACGAUCCGUAGCUGGUCUGAGAGGACGAUCAGCCACACUGGGACUGAGACACGGCCCAGACUCCUACGGGAGGCAGCAGUGGGGAAUCUUGCGCAAUGGGCGAAAGCCUGACGCAGCGACGCCGCGUGCGGGAAGAAGGCCUUCGGGUUGUAAACCGCUUUCAGGAGGGACGAAGCCACUCGGGUUAAUAGCCCAGAGGGUGACGGUACCUCCAGAAGAAGCCCCGGCUAACUACGUGCCAGCAGCCGCGGUAAUACGUAGGGGGCAAGCGUUGUCCGGAUUUAUUGGGCGUAAAGAGCGUGUAGGCGGCCAGGUAGGUCAGCUGUGAAAACUCGAGGCUCAACCUCGAGAUGUCGGCUGAAACCAUCUGGCUAGAGUCCGGAAGAGGAGAAUGGAAUUCCCGGUGUAGCGGUGAAAUGCGCAGAUAUCGGGAAGAACACCCGUGGCGAAGGCGGUUCUCUGGGACGGUACCGACGCUGAGACGCGAAAGCGUGGGGAGCGAACAGGAUUAGAUACCCUGGUAGUCCACGCCGUAAACGAUGGGAACUAGGUGUGGGCGGUGUCGACUCCGUCCGUGCCGAAGCUAACGCAUUAAGUUCCCCGCCUGGGGAGUACGGCCGCAAGGCUAAAACUCAAAGGAAUUGACGGGGGCCCGCACAAGCAGCGGAGCAUGUGGUUUAAUUCGACGCGACGCGAAGAACCUUACCAAGGCUUGACAUGCACUGGAAUGUCGUAGAAAUACGGCAGCCCUUCGGGGCCAGUGCACAGGUGGUGCAUGGCGGUCGUCAGCUCGUGUCGUGAGAUGUUGGGUUAAGUCCCGCAACGAGCGCAACCCACGCCCCUAGAUGCCAACGGGUCAUGCCGGGAACUCUAGGGGGACUGCCCCGGUUAACGGGGAGGAAGGUGGGGAUGACGUCAAGUCAUCAUGGCCUUUAUGUCCAGGGCUACACACGUGCUACAAUGGCCGGUACAAAGGGUCGCAAACGCGCGAGCGGGAGCUAAUCCCAAAAAGCCGGUCCCAGUUGGGAUCGCAGUCUGCAACUCGACUGCGUGAACGCGGAAUCGCUAGUAAUCGCGAAUCAGCAGGUCGCGGUGAUACGUUCCCAGUCCUGCAAC